rnacentral:rRNA from 1 species
GACGAACGCUGGCGGCGUGCUUAACACAUGCAAGUCGAACGGAAAGGCCCUGCUUUUGUGGGGUGCUCGAGUGGCGAACGGGUGAGUAACACGUGAGUAACCUGCCCUUGACUUUGGGAUAACUUCAGGAAACUGGGGCUAAUACCGGAUAGGAGCUCCUGCUGCAUGGUGGGGGUUGGAAAGUUUCGGCGGUUGGGGAUCGACUCGCGGCUUAUCAGCUUGUUGGUGGGGUAGUGGCUUACCAAGGCUUUGACGGGUAGCCGGCCUGAGAGGGUGACCGGCCACAUUGGGACUGAGAUACGGCCCAGACUCCUACGGGAGGCAGCAGUGGGGAAUAUUGCACAAUGGGCGGAAGCCUGAUGCAGCAACGCCGCGUGCGGGAUGACGGCCUUCGGGUUGUAAACCGCUUUCGCCUGUGACGAAGCGUGAGUGACGGUAAUGGGUAAAGAAGCACCGGCUAACUACGCG